AAACAAACCUCCCUCCUCGCUGCGAACCACCGCGGUGACUACCCUGUAGCAGACGCCGCUAACCGCUUACUGGCCCGACCAUCUUUCCUGCUUUCUCUAGCCAUAAUAAUGACCACUCGAAUUGCUCCUGGUGUGGGAGCGAAUUUGCUGGGCCAACACUCGGCUGAGAGGAAUCAAGACGCCACCGCUUACGUCGGCAAUCUUGAUCCUCAGGUGACUGAAGAAUUGCUCUGGGAGUUAUUUGUUCAAGCAGGCCCUGUUGUUAACGUGUACGUUCCAAAGGAUAGAGUAACCAAUCUUCAUCAAGGAUAUGGAUUUGUGGAAUUCCGUAGCGAAGAAGAUGCUGACUAUGCAAUUAAGGUUUUGAAUAUGAUUAAGCUUUAUGGGAAGCCAAUACGUGUAAAUAAGGCAUCGCAAGAUAAGAAGAGCUUGGAUGUAGGAGCGAACCUUUUCAUCGGAAACCUUGACCCUGAUGUUGAUGAGAAACUUCUGCAUGAUACUUUCAGUGCUUUUGGAGUUAUAGUUACAAAUCCCAAGAUAAUGAGAGAUCCUGAUACUGGAAAUUCUCGUGGAUUUGGUUUCAUCAGCUAUGAUUCUUUUGAGGCAUCUGAUGCAGCAAUUGAGGCAAUGAAUGGUCAAUAUCUUUGCAACCGUCAGAUAACAGUUUCAUAUGCGUAUAAGAAAGACACUAAAGGAGAGCGCCAUGGUACCCCAGCAGAGAGAGUUCUGGCUGCAAGCAAUCCAAGUUCCCAAAAGAGCAGGCCCCACACUUUGUUUGCCAGUGGGCCUCCAAGCAUGCCUCAGGCCAAUGGUGCAGUUGGUGCACCUCCACGCCCAUUUGCAAAUGGCGUUGUUGCUCCAGCCCCAAUUUCAGCACUCCGACCACCACCCCCACCAAAUGCAGCUUUCCCACCAAUGCAGGUAGCUGGAGGACAACCAGCUUGGCAGGGUCAGCCCCCGCAGCCAGGUCAAACAAUGUCGCUGCCAGUUAUGCCUCCACCUCCAAUGCAGUUCAGGCCACCACCUCCAAACAUGCCACCACCCCCAAUCCAGGCAGCUCCAGUCCUCCCAAGGCCUCCCCCACAGCAAAUGGGAAUGGGAGUCCAACCACAGUUGUGGCGGCAGCCACCACCUCCACAGCAGUUGGCUGGCGGACCCCCAAUGCAACAAAUGAUGAUGCAACCACCUCCCCCACCCAGUGCACCCCCACCACCACCUCCAUUAUCAAAUUGAAGAUUAGAGCAGUUAUUCUUAAAGCUGUCCAUAACACCAGCUGUUAAUCUUAGAUGUCUCGUCUCAUCUGUCGCUUGUCAAGUAGGACAGUUGAGAUGCUACAGUAAUCCUUAAAUGAGCUGAUAUGAUGGGAUGCUUUGGUUUUUUUGUACAAGAAACUUUACAUGUAUCAACUUUAUAUCUUGCAAAAUGCACUGGUAGUUUUAUACGUGUUGCAGAUGCCUUCUUCUUCUUCCUCCUUU
rnacentral:misc_RNA from 1 species